ACUGAAGUUGUUGCUCUGCUACCGGUGUUUUUUGUGGAUCUAAACUUUCGAGAUAAAUAUAUUUUUUUAGAACUAUUUGAGCUAGUUUAGUUUUAUUACGGUAUAUUAGUUAUUUCUAGAGACGUUACAUAAAGGAUAACAUCUAUUUUUGGACAACGCCGCGUGAUUACCAAACUAGUCGAAACACAAAUUAUAAAAAAUAUGACGAUUCUGUAAUAGAAAUAGCACUACACGAGUACAAUAGCUCUAACCUUUCCUUUAAAGAUGUUUCACGGAAAUACGAUAUACCGAAAUCAGUCCUGCAUCGACACAACACCCGUGUCAUGAAAAAACAAGGAGGCCAAACUGCCCUAAGCCGGGCUGAAGAAGCGUACUUAGUAGAGUACGUAAAUGUAUGUUCAGAAUGGGGAUAUCCUCUAGAACCCAUUGAUUUUAGAUUGCUGAUAAAAGGAUACCUGGAUAAAAUGGGAGUUGAUAUCAAAA